CGGGCUCCGUCCCCUCCGCCCACAGAGCGGGGCCGCGGCCGGGGGUCUGCGGCCACAGCAAGGAGACUGAGAGAAUUGCUGGACGGGCGCUGCACGAACAACUUAUUGACCUGCUGUGAUGUAACUGCACCGAUGGACGAGGGAAGAGCACUGAUAUUGUCUGUCUGGACUUCAGUAAGGCUUUUGGUACAAUCCUCCAUAAUAUCCUUCUCUCCACAUUGCAAAGGUGUGGAUUUGAUGGGUGGUUGUUCGAUGGACAAGGAAGUGGUUGCAAGACUGUGCCCAGAGAUUGGUGGUCAAUGGCACAACGGCCAGAUGGAGGUAUAUCCAACACACAUCCCACUUGCUGAAUGAGGCCCAGCCCGGCCCAUCCUGCAGCUCUUCCCUGUCCUGCACCAUCAUGGUGGCAGCUCUGCCCUGCUAAGUGGCCCAGCCCUCACCAUUCAACAGCAACCAAACUUCAGCGAGCAGUUGGAACAAUCUGGGCUGAAAAUGGGCCAUGGGGAGGACAAAGUGCAGUGGUAACUCAGGGUGACAGAGAAUUGAGCAGAUGGAUCCUGCACACAUCCUGUAUGCAGAAUUUGAGGGAAUUCUUUCAUAUAAGGCACAGAAGAGCUUUGACCCUCGGUAAGACAACAGGUUACACAUCAGAGAAGUUGGUGUAACGUGACCCCAACACAGCACUGUCUCUUCCAAGGAUGGCACAUUUAGCCUAGGGUGAAUCAGGACUAAAUCUGCCCUGCUUUCAAAUGUGCAGCUCUCAACAUGCUGCCGUGGACGUGCUCAGCAUGCUAAUGCCCUGACAGCUGUGUGGGUGUGAUUCAUUCCGUGUUUUGCCUUUGGCUGUCCGGCCUCUGGGGUCAGCUCGGUGCUCAGCAGGAGGUAAGUGAUGGGCGCAGGUGGCCAGAGGCGGGGAGGGAACAAGGACUGUCCUACCUCCACAGCAGCAAGCUGUUAAUUCUGCUUCAGUCCUGGCAGGAGCCCAACACCCCCUUAAUUUUAGAUGGAAAAUCGAUCUCCUCCAUCUUUUACUGCAGUGUAGUUAAUCCCCAAGGACUUGUAAGUGGAAGGAAAGUAUACCUGCCGGUACUCACCAGUUUCAUGAAUGGGUUUGUACUACUUCAUGGCUUACUCGAAUCACUGCAGAAUUAAAUGGAAAAUACCUGAAAUAUCCGAUCCAUUAAUUAUGGAAUCUCUCUCUUACUUUGCCUGUCUGCAACAAAUAACCCAGGGGUGAUGUUAGAAAGAAUGUAAGGGAGAAUGUUAGAGAACUUUCAGUAUCAAGCAGAGAUGUGAAAUCAAAUGUAAUCUAAGCAAACUAGGAACUAGUUACUGUGAUAAGUACUCUGCUGUAUCAACUAGAUCUACUGGUGCUCUAUUCUGAAUGUCAGAUGUCCUUCUAGUAACAGGAAUAGAUUCUUGCUUAAUUUUUUUAUUAUUAUUAUUUUUAAGAGUACGUUCGAAUGAAAAUUGUAAAAGCAGAUUUAGACAUCUUGUGCUCUGCUAAGUGAUUGUUUAGACGUGGUUCUUUUUGCAAUUACAGACACUUGUGAACAGCUACCAAAUGGGCUGACAUAGAAAAGGUGUAGAGAGAUGGAUGGCCAAGGUUAUCAGCAGUGCUGUUAUUUCUGCACUAAUUCAGUGCUUCUGAGACAGAACACUUCAGAAUGAAAAUGAGACCACCAAACAAGAUGUGAUAAAAAGAAGUCAUGAAUGGCAGGGAGAGUUUGGCUGAAAAUAAUUAAUUGUUCACUUCCUCUUCUGGUAAGAAAAUGAGGGAGUGUUGCCUUAAAUGAGCAGGUAACUGGCUUAAAGCAAACUGAUGGAGACGCUUCAUAUCAUGUGUGGCUAAAGCUGGGAAACAUUUCACCACAGAACAUGCUCAGUGGUACAGAUGUACAUGAUGUUAUAAACUGUCUGAACAAAUUCGCAGUGGAAAAAAACCAUCACAGCCUAUUAAAUUCAGGGGCUAUCUUUGGCUUAAAAGAAACAAUAAUGCCAAGAUUUCUGGCUGCUACAAAAUAUUUCUACGCAUUUUUAUUGUCCUUUAUUCUUCCCUAAACAUUUGAUGUUGGCUACUGUUGAAGGCUUAUUUGGUGUUAGAUGGGUCAUCUAACUUGAAACAAAUUCUGUUUGUAUUCUUGGGAGAUUUUAAUCAAAUUUUACAGUAAUUAAAGGCCUUUAUGAGCCUUACAAGAAAUGGAUUUCACAAGUCACAGCAGAAGCACUUGCCGUGCAGGAAUUAUAGAUCAAAGAAAAAGCAAGAAGAAGGAAAGAAGAGAAAAAAAAAAAAAAAAAAGUGGAACGUGAUAGGGGUGGAUGGUAGGGCCAUCUCCAAGGGUGAGAAACUCCUUUCCAACAGUCAGUAUGGUAGGAAGCCCCACAUUUUCCUUCAGCCUUCUUCAGCUUUUCACGUCUGAUGCAUUGCCUUUAUGCAUGGCCAGACAGACCUGGCUGUAAUUGCAGAACCUUCAGAUCUCCUAAUGGUGGCAUUACUCUCACCCAGAAAUACACAGCUCUAAACUAGCAUUGGAAGAGUGGGAUGAAUAAUGCAGGAAAAAAAAAAAAAAGAAAAGAAAAGAAAAGUGGGGCCGUGCUGGUAGCUUCUGUGACACUGGGAAAUGAAGACCACAGCUAUAUCUGCAAUGGCCCCUGUCAGGCAGCACCAUCCUGUUCCACAUCACUGCUGGAGGAUGUUUUCUUUCCAUACGACAAGCAACACAGCAUACACUCCAAUUUUUGGCGCAGGGGGCUAUAUUAGUGCAAAUUGCAUGUUUUCCAGGAAUUUUUUUAUUUUUAUAGUGGAAACUGGGGUUCUGCAGGAAGGACUUAAAUUUGGGUGAGAAGUAUAAGGAUGCGCCAAAAUAGCAACACAUUUGGGGCUGGAGUUGCAAGGUGCAGCAGUGCCAGGAUGGGUUCUUCAGCUCCAGCAGGGGUAGCUGGAGGCCAGAGUCAGGCUCGCUAUGUGCAGGCUGUGCUGGCUCACCUGCAGGUAGCGAAACACUCAGCAAACACCUGGGGAUUGACAUUGUCCAUGUGAUGCUUGGGAGAGCUCUGCCAUCCUGCUGCACGAUUGGGAAUUGCUGCAAAAAACUCAGACUGCCCCAGCCAGCACACAGCAUGACUGCACCCCAGACCAUGGUCUGUGGAGCUCUGUGAAGCUCCAUCCUUGCGGCUUCUGCAGGAGCUGUGGGUGCAGGCCCCCUGCCCACGUAAAGGGCAGGAGUCACCCAGACUUCCUUUGCGAAUUGCCAGAGCAGUUUGAUCCAACAUAUGCACCACACUGAUAAAAUGUAGGGAUGCUCAUAUCCAUAGGAAUUCUCUGAAUUAUGAUUAAUUUUUAUUUAUAUUAAUUGUACACAUUAGUUAUUUUGCUUACUUUUGAUAAUUAAAAGAGUUAUAUAUUUUUUUAUUUAAUAAGAAAGAAACCUGAGCAAUGAAUACAACCCUGCCUACAUGCCUGCAUUUCGUAUCUUGGCUCUGUGCUACAGUUGUCUCAGUUUUAUGCUAUC